rnacentral:rRNA from 1 species
AUGGCAGACCACCUUCAAGUUCAAGAGCAACAAAAACUACUGAAUCUACCACCAGGGUUCAGGUUUCAACCGACGGACAUGGAGAUCAUCACCUUCUACCUGGUCCCCAAGGUGUUGAAGAAAGUCUUCAACACCAUGGUGGUCGGGGAGGUGGACUUGAACAAAUGUGAGCCAUGGGAUCUCCUAAAGAAGGUAAGCAUGGGUGAUAAGGGGCGAUACUUCUUCUCCCAGAAGGAUCUCAAGUACUCCACCGGGAUACGGACCAACCGGGCCACGAAGGCCGGCUAUUGGAAGGCCACAGGAAAGGACAAGGAGAUAGUCCACCCACCGACCAUGAGUAUCAUCGGCAUGAAGAAGACGCUCGUCUUCUACAAGGGAAGGGCCCCCAAGGGGGAGAAGACAAACUGGAUCAUGCACGAGUACAGACUCGAGAGCGGCAAGCAACCCACACCCAACUUGCCCACUGACAUCGUCAAAGCCACCACCAUUAACGCAUCUUCCAAGGGGGAGUAUGUGAUUUGUAGAAUCUUCCUUAAGAGCAUUGGACUGAAGAAGGUGAUGAUGCCAUCAUAUGACAUGUCCAUUCCCGUGUCCAUGGGGGGAGAGCAACAACAGGGCUUCCUCGAAUCCACUACAUUGGAUCCUCUCAUGGACUACGACAUGUUAUCAUCACUGGCAUCGUCGCCUCUGUUGCCUACAACUUCUUUGGACCAGCCGCAUACCUUUGAGGCCGGAUCAUUUGUGAUGGGCAGUGCGGUGCUUCCAGUGAUGAACAACCACUACUUUGGGAACCACUACCAACAAAUGAUGGCCUUGCCAUAG